GACGAACGCUGGCGGCGUGCUUAACACAUGCAAGUCGAACGGAAAGGCCCUGCUCUUGUGGGGUGCUCGAGUGGCGAACAGGUGAGUAACACGUGAGUAACAUGCCCUUGUCUUUGGGAUAUCUUCAGGAAACUGGGGCUCAUACCGGAUAGGAGCUCCUGCUGCACGGUGGGGGUUGGUGAGUUCCGGCGGUUGUGGAUUGACUCGCGGGUUAUCCGCUUCUUGGUGAGGUAGUGGCUUUCACAGGUUUUGAAGGGUAGCCGGCCUGGGAGGGUGGCCGGCCACAUGGCUACUGCGAUAGGGACCAGACGGCAACCGGAGGCAGCAGUGGGGAAUAUUGCGCAAUGGGGGGAAGCCUGAUGCGGCAACGCCGCGUGCGGGAUGACGUCCUUCUGGUUGUAAACCGCUUUCGCCUGUGACGAAGCGUGAGUGACGGUAAUGGGUAAAGAAGCACCGGCUAACUACGUG
rnacentral:rRNA from 1 species